GAGAUGAGUAGCUUCUGAUUAACAGUUAGUUCUUGAAGGAUCCUCUACAAUUAAAAAUGUCAUGGAAAAAAGGAGAUUUCACAGUAGUCCAUGGAAGAGGAACUGGAGUUUUUAUUCUUCAAUCCUACCAAAUUAUUCAUCAGUAUGAAAAAUUCUUACCUGCUACCUACCGAGUGUAUGAUUUAAUUUAUACAUAUAAUUAAUAAAAAAUUA
rnacentral:misc_RNA from 1 species